rnacentral:rRNA from 1 species
CCUACGGGAGGCAGCAGUAGGGAAUCUUCCACAAUGGGCGAAAGCCUGAUGGAGCAACGCCGCGUGGGUGAAGAAGGUCUUCGGAUCGUAAAACCCUGUUGUUAGAGAAGUAAGUGCGUGAGAGUAACUGUUCACGUUUCUACGUUAUCUAACCAGAAAGCCACGGCUAACUACGUGCCAGCAGCCGCGGUAAUACGUAGGUGGCAAGCGUUAUCCGGAUUUAUUGGGCGUAAAGGGAACGAAGGAGGUCUUUUAAGUCUGAUGUGAAAGCCUUCGGCUUAACCGGAGUAGUGCAUUGGAGACUGGGAGACUUGAGUGCAGAAGAGGAGAGUGGAACUCCAUGUGUAGCGGUGAAAUGCGUAGAUAUAUGGAAGAACACCAGUGGCGAAAGCGGCUCACUGGUCUGUAACUGACGCUGAGGUUCGAAAGCGUGGGUAGCAAACAGGAUUAGAUACCCCUGUAGUC